rnacentral:tRNA from 1 species
AGCUGUUAAGUUUUAAACAUAUGUUUUGAAAACAUAAAUAGGAGUUACCUCCAACAGUUC